UUUUAUUUUUUCCCCCCAAAACCUUUCCCUGUCCUCCUCUCCCACACUUCUCCCUCCCGCCUUCUCCCAUCACCAAGCACUGCCGCCACCCAACAGACUGCCACCCAUGGCACCAACUCAAAAUCCGAAGACGCCACCCAGCCGCCACCGGCGACGCCCGGUGAGUUGGAGAAGAGACAUGGUUUGUUGCUGCAAAGAGAGUUAUUAUCAAUGAUGAUAAGAUGAAUAAAAAUGAGAAACGCUUGAAGUUGCAUUGAGAAACUCUCGGAUUGUAACCUUUUUGAUUGUUUGUACCUCUUUGAGGAUGAUGAAAAAAAACAAAUUAUUUAUAUUUCUUGAAGUUGAUUUUAUGUAAUACUUGAAAUUAUAGAGUUUGUUAAAAUGAACAAAUGAUUUUGGUUGCUUCUUUAAUCUUA